rnacentral:rRNA from 1 species
UUGACGGGGGCCCGGCACAAGCGGAGGAGCAUGUGGUUUAAUUCGAUGAUACGCGAGGAACCUUACCUGGGCUCGAACGUAAGAUGACUGUAGGUGAAAGCUUACAUCUCUUCGGAGCAUUUUACGAGGUGCUGCAUGGUUGUCGUCAGCUCGUGCCGUGAGGUGUCGGGUUAAGUCCCAUAACGAGCGCAACCCCUACCUUUAGUUGCCAUCAGGUUAAGCUGGGGACUCUAAAGGAACUGCCUACGCAAGUAGUGAGGAAGGCGGGGAUGACGUCAAAUCAGCACGGCCCUUACGUCCAGGGCUACACACGUGCUACAAUGGCCGAUACAGAGGGCAGCUACCUGGUGACAGGAUGCAAAUCUCCAAAGUCGGUCUCAGUUCGGAUCGGAGUCUGCAACCCGACUCCGUGAAGUUGGAUUCGCUAGUAAUCGCGCAUCAGCCAUGGCGCGGUGAAUACGUUCCGGGCCUU